ensembl:ncRNA F49E10.17 ncRNA
AGCAUCUAUUCUCUUUGAUGCCCUCCGACUUCCAAGUCCCCUUGGGCAAGAUCUAAUUUACUCCCUUUUUGCAGUGGUACCCUUUUUGCUUCUGAGCUCUCAACCACCACAGAUACCGUAGUACGUCCACUACUUUCCUGCCUCAGG